rnacentral:lncRNA from 1 species
UUGUGUGGAAAUGAGAGGACACAUCCUCAAAUCCUGCCAGCAUUUGUUUAGCAUUCAUAAAGCUUUAUCUAGACAAACUCACAAAGACAGCAACAAUAAUGAUGCUACAGUGGAAAAGGCCAAAGGUAAAGAAGAGACAAUUUUCCCUCCAGAGGCAGCCGCUUUCUGACUUCUGUAACCAUCUGUCACUUCAUCCCUUUGAUUGCCUGGCAUCAUUUGCUCCGUGUAGUGUCUGCAAGAUUCCUCCAUUCUGCUGUGUAUUUCAGUGAUGGAUUCCCUUUAUUGCUGAGAGAUUAGUAUAUACAAAAAGAGACACGAGCAAUAUGGGUGCGCUCAAAGCGGUGAGCAUGUGAAGAGGAAGCAAGAAAGGGCCAUGGACAACCCAAAGAAAGAGGCCUCCGAGGAGUACAGCCCUGCCACCUUGAUCUCAGACUUCCAGCCUCCAGAACUAUGAGAAAUGAAUUUCUGUUGCUAAAGCUA